AUUAGAUAAAAUGCAAUACAAACAAACAUGAAAAGAAAUGGUCAGUGUAAUUGGGCACUGCAUUUCAAAGUGGAUGGUCAAUUCAUUACACUUAGAAGUCAAAUGGUUGUAAUCCACCUGGUUGAUUAAUUGGCUCCAUCUCACAGUCCAGGUCAUGGACGACAGUAUCAAGUGGCCUUUGGAAUACAGUACUGAGAAUCCAGUAUCCGAACUCAGUAACCCCGUUCCAAAAC